UCCCCUUACGCCAAGUAAGUAAGAUCCCUCAGAGACGAUGAGGUUGAUAGGUCCGAGGUGGAAGCGUGGUGACACGUGGAGCUGACGGAUACUAAUGGAUCGAUGACUUAUCUAU
rnacentral:rRNA from 1 species